CAAGGGCAACACUGAGAACAAACAGGAAGAAGUCGACAUCAAGGGACACUCCCUGGACUGGUUGUAAAUAAGAAGGCAGGCAGAGAAGCGCAAGUUUCAAGGGACGCCUGUGUUUCGGGUCACGUAUGGUUCCAGAAAAGUGCGAAUUAGAAUUGCUACUGCCUGGAGAUCUGGAGCCUUUAAAUAACUGCGAUUGCUGGCAGAGAUUCAACAGUGCAGAUGUGCCAUCACUGCAUCCCGCAAGGACAGCUGCACCUGUUCAACUUCUGCCUGUCUCCCAACUGCUAAAAGGGCCGGCCCCAGGCAUUUUGCUACCCGACGAGCAAAGGACAAGAUGGCGCCCUUUCUCAUUCCGCAAGCGAAAGCCGACCAGACCUGCAGUGGAAUCCUCAUCACGGGUGCAUAGAAACAGAGCAAGCUGCCUUACACCGAGUCAGAACCAUUGGUCCACCUAGCUCAGGAUUGUCUGCACUGACUGGCAGCGGCUCUCCAGCAUUUCAGGCAGGGGGAUGUUCUCAGCUGUACUGGGAGAUGCUGCCAAGGAUUGAACCAGAGAUCUUCUGCAUGCAAAGCAGGCUCCAGCUACUCUCACAGACAGGUGAUGGAAAUGAAGACAGCAAAGUGGUAUCGGUUGCCCACCUAGACCGGAGAGCAGGCUGUUCAGCGUUGCAAUGUCAGUCUCCAAGGAGCGCUGGGCAUCUCGGAGGCUCCUGUCAAGAUCGCUCAUCUCUGCCGCAACCUUCCAAUGAGAUGGUCUGUGCGUUAAAACUGUAGAGUUG